UACGGAGGGUGCAAGCGUUACUCGGAAUUACUGGGCGUAAAGCGUGCGUAGGUGGUCGUUUAAGUCCGUUGUGAAAGCCCUGGGCUCAACCUGGGAACUGCAGUGGAUACUGGGCGACUAGAGUGUGGUAGAGGGUAGCGGAAUUCCUGGUGUAGCAGUGAAAUGCGUAGAGAUCGGGAGGAACACCCGUGGCGAAGGCGGCCACCUGGGCCAACACUGACACUGAGGCACGAAAGCGUGGGGAGCAAACAGG
rnacentral:rRNA from 1 species